UACGUAGGGGGCUAGCGUUGUCCGGAAUCACUGGGCGUAAAGGGUUCGCAGGCGGACAUGCAAGUCUGAUGUAAAAGGGAGUAGCUUAACUACUGUAAGCAUUUGAAACUGCAUAUCUUGAGAAGAGUAGAGGUAAGUGGAAUUUUUAGUGUAGCGGUGAAAUGCGUAGAGAUUAAAAAGGAUACCGGUGGCGAAGGCGACUUUCUGGCCAUUAUCUGACGCUGAGGUACGAAAGCGUGGGUAGCAAACAGG
rnacentral:rRNA from 1 species